rnacentral:rRNA from 1 species
GAUGAACGCUGGCGGCGUGCCUAAUACAUGCAAGUCGAGCGAACAGACGAGGAGCUUGCUCCUCUGACGUUAGCGGCGGACGGGUGAGUAACACGUGGAUAACCUACCUAUAAGACUGGGAUAACUUCGGGAAACCGGAGCUAAUACCGGAUAAUAUAUUGAACCGCAUGGUUCAAUAGUGAAAGACGGUUUUGCUGUCACUUAUAGAUGGAUCCGCGCCGCAUUAGCUAGUUGGUAAGGUAACGGCUUACCAAGGCAACGAUGCGUAGCCGACCUGAGAGGGUGAUCGGCCACACUGGAACGGAACCACGGUCCAGACUCCUACGGGAGGCAGCAGUAGGGAAUCUUCCGCAAUGGGCGAAAGCUUGACGGAGCAACGCCGCGUGAGUGAUGAAGGUCUUCGGAUCGUAAAACUCUGUUAUUAGGGAAGAACAAAUGUGUAAGUAACUAUGCACGUCUUGACGGUACCUAAUCAGAAAGCCACGGCUAACUACGUG